rnacentral:rRNA from 1 species
CGGAGGGAUCAUUAAAGAGUUCUAUAACUCCCAAACCCAUGUGAACAUACCUAACGUUGCCUCGGCAGGUCGCACCUACCUUGUAGCACCCUACUUUGUAGGGCCUACCCGGGAGGUGCGGGUAAGCCUGCCGGCGGCCCACCAAACUCUGUUUGAUAUUGAAUUCUGAACCUAUAACUAAAUAAGUUAAAACUUUCAACAACGGAUCUCUUGGUUCUGGCAUCGAUGAAGAACGCAGCGAAAUGCGAUAAGUAAUGUGAAUUGCAGAAUUCAGUGAAUCAUCGAAUCUUUGAACGCAUAUUGCGCCCAUUAGUAUUCUAGUGGGCAGGACCGUUCGAGCGUCAUUUCAACCCUUAAGCCUUCGUUGCUUAGUGUUGGGAGCCUACGGCAACGUAGCUCCUCAAAGUUAGUGGCGGAGUUGGUUCACACUCUAGACGUAGUAAUUUUUUAUCUCGCCUAUUAGUUGGACUAAUCCCUUGCCGUAAAACCCCCAAUUUAUCAAGGUUGACCUCGAAUCGGUUCAGACAAACUCGCUAAAUUGAAGCAUCUUAGUCAGCGAAGGAAAAGAAACCAACAGGGAUUGCCCUAGUAACGGCGAGUGAAGCGGCAACAGCUCAAAUUUGAAAUCUG